GAAAACUGGGUGCGAUGCGGGGGGAUUUAUCCGGCUAGGGCUUCCACGUCCGUUCGCGGUCUGGCGGAGAAGCUUCGGAGGAAGCGGGGAAGGUGCGGUUCUUAUAUGGUAUCAGCCUUCGGCCUUCAUCCUGCUGUGAUGCCUGUACGCGAAUUUCUCGUGAUAGGGAUGUGCGCACGCGAAGCAGAAGAGGGAGAGGACGGAGGGAAGACGAGAUUUUUAUGCGCUUCAAAGAAACGUAGGACGUCGCUACUGUUACUGCAUGUUGAUGUAUCAACCAAGACCUAAUUGUAAUCAGAACCUGGAAAUGAGCCCCAUUAGUAGAACAGGGGAACAUGACAGGUGAGUUAGAAGGCAGUUGAAACUGAGUUAGGGACCAUUCUUGGAGCUUAUGUUUGUGAUGCUUCAAAUCUUACAUUUGGACUGAG
rnacentral:lncRNA from 1 species